rnacentral:rRNA from 1 species
GAUCAUGGCUCAGGAUGAACGCUGGCGGCGUGCUUAACACAUGCAAGUCGAACGGGAAAUACUUUAUUGAAACUUCGGUCGAUUUAAUCUAUUUCUAGUGGCGGACGGGUGAGUAACGCGUGGGUAACCUGCCUUAUACUGGGGGAUAACAGCCAGAAAUGGCUGCUAAUACCGCAUAAGCGCACGGGGCCGCAUGGUCCUGCGUGAAAAACUCCGGUGGUAUAAGAUGGACCCGCGUUGGAUUAG